AUUGAACGCUGGCGGAAUGCUUUACACAUGCAAGUCGAACGGCAGCACGGACUUCGGUCUGGUGGCGAGUGGCGAACGGGUGAGUAAUGUAUCGGAACGUGCCCAGUCGUGGGGGAUAACGUAGUGAAAAUUACGCUAAUACCGCAUACGAUCUAUGGAUGAAAGCGGGGGAUCGCAAGACCUCGCGCGAUUGGAGCGGCCGAUAUCAGAUUAGGUAGUUGGUGGGGGAAAGGCCCACCAAGCCAGCGAUCUGUAGCUGGUCUGAGAGGACGACCAGCCACACUGGAACUGAGACACGGUCCAGACUCCUACGGGAGGCAGCAGUGGGGAAUUUUGGACAAUGGGCGAAAGCCUGAUCCAGCCAUUCCGCGUGCAGGAUGAAGGCCCUCGGGUUGUAAACUGCUUUUGUACAGAACGAAAAGGUUUCUACUAAUACUAGGAGCUCAUGACGGUACUGUAAGAAUAAGCACCGGCUAACUACGUGCCAGCAGCCGCGGUAA
rnacentral:rRNA from 1 species